AAUGCACAAUCUACAGAGUUCAUGAACAUUUACGGAACGUGAACCCCAUUGCUUACGAGCCCGAGGUGAUCGCUAUUGGCCCUUAUCACCGCAACAAGAAUCAUCUAAAAAUGAUGGAAGAUCACAAGCUACGUUACUUCCAGCACCUCAUCAGAAGGAAACCUUCCAACAAUGUGGAAAGCUACGCAGCAUGUGUGGGCAGAUUGGAAGCCGAAGCAAGAAAAUGUUACGCAGAUGAGCCUACAAGCCUGAGCCCAAGCGAGUUCAUACAAAUGCUUGUACUAGAUGGAUGCUUCAUCGUUGAGUUAUUACUGAAGCGCGACAUGGUAUCCCUGAGGGAGAAGAAUGAUCCCAUCUUCCAAAUGGACUGGAUUGUGGCUAGCCUGCAGCGGGAUUUAAUGCUCUUCGAGAAUCAACUCCCACUCUUCGUCUUGUGCGAGCUGUUCGACCUGAUUGAGGAUCCCGGCCAGCAUAGUAGGUUGCAGGACCUUCUCGUGCAAUUCUUCAGCAUUAUGUGUCCUGGGGAAGGCUACAGAGGAGAAGCGAGCAUAGCUCCUCGUGAGAUGAAGCAUUUGCUUCACUUCAUCCAUCGUAGUUGGCUUCCCCGCGGCACGGGCACAGGCGGGAGGAAGAAACAGGAUAAGGGGUUGCAGUUCAUCAACAGCGCAGCGAGGCUUAAAGAGGCUAAUGUCAGGUUCGAGAUAUCCGAGCCACGAGCUGCGUUGUUCGACGUGAGGUUCGAAAACGGGGUGAUGAUCAUGGGGCCUCUGAGGGUCGAGGACAAGACCGAGUCGUUCCUCCGGAAUCUCGUCGCGUACGAGCAGUACUUUGGGCAGGAUCAGGACAAUUUCGUGACGGAUUAUGUCAUGUUGCUGGACUGCCUUAUUGAUUCCUCCAAGGAUGUGGAGAUACUGUCGCGUGACGGAAUCGUGAAGAACUGGAUGGGCAAUGAGGAAGACGUGGCGAAGAUGGUGAACAAGCUGGCUGAAUCGGUGACUGUGCCCAGAAUCUUCAUGUAUGCGGAGAUGUUUGAGAAUGUGGAAAAGCAUUGCAGGAAAAGAAGGCAUAGGUGGAUGGCCAUGUUGAGGCGUAAUUAUUUAAGUAGUCCUUGGGUUAUUAUGUCUCUACUUGUUGGUGCAGUGCUGCUUCUGCUCACAUUCACGCAAACAGUUUUUACCAUAUUACAGGUGGUCUGAAUUAGAAGAGGACUCACCAUUUCUGCUUUAUCACAUGUAGCGAUGUAAACUAAUUUGAGUUUGAUCAUGUAUUAAAAUCUAGAACGAGGGAAGCCAUUUUACUAUGAGUAGUGCUAUUUGGACAAAAUUUGUCCAGACAUAAAAGGUCCAUCCAUAAUUUAAUGUCCCACUUUGUAGUCGGCGCGAAAACUAAGAAAACUGAAAAAGGUGUUGUGGGUGAAAUAUAAAGGUGGUUAACUAAAGUGAUAAAUGUGUUGUGAGUGGAUCCAAUAGUGAAAAAGUGUAGUAAAUAUAAAAUAUAAAAUAUAAAAUUGAUAAAGGUAUUUUUAGGUGAGUCGAUUAGUGGCAAAUGAUACUCCCUCCAUCCCAUUAAAGUUGGCCACAUUUUCUUUUUAGUCUGUCCUAUUAUUGUUGGCCACUUUCUUAAAAUUGAAACAUUGAAUUUAAUUAAGCCCAAUUAAUUAAUUUAAUUUAAUUUAAAUUUCUACUUAAACCUAAACCCUCUUUAAAUAAACACACACACACAAACACACAGCCGCACACACUCACACACAUUGUUCUCUCUCUCGGCAGGGGAGCCGCCGCCGUCGACAGUGGCGCCGCCCGACGGGGCCGGCGUCUGCUGCCUCCAUCUCCUCUCUCCUUAUGUCUCUCUCUCUCUCUUGCUCCCUCUUUCCGGUUCAUCCUCUCUAUUGCCGGAACAGGACGCCGACCGCUCCCUUUGGACUCUGGACUCUGGACUCUAGCCUCUCUCGACGGCGCUGACGAAUCCGCCGCAGCCUCUCGCCCCUCCGAUCGACUGUGUGGCGGCACAUCUUCUUCAGCCACGCGAUUUUGGGGGCUAGGGCUAGGGCUGCGAUCGAAGGGCACCCACGACGCUUCUCCCUCUCCUCUUUUUCUCUUCUUUUUGAACACCCAAAAUUCUUGGUUUGCAUGUUGACAACGAAUUUGGUUUGAAUUGAUUUUUUGGCGAAAAUUGGAUUGAGGAAAUUAGAACAUAAAAUGGUUUUGGAAUAGGAAAUUGGUGGAAAUUGCAUGUUGACCGCCGACGACGCCUUUGCCGGAGAAGAAGGUGAAUGGCAGCCAACAAUCAUCCCCUCGCGUCUUAAUUUACUCAUUAACACACUCAAUUAAAACAUAACAAUGAAUUUCUUAAUUUCCGUGCCGAAAAGAAUGUGGUCAACAAUAAUGGGACGGAGGGAGUAGUAAAUAUAGGAAAAGAAGGAGAGUAAAAAAGUACAAAAAAUAGAAUAUGACUCGAAUUUGUGGACAAAAAUUUAAGAGCAAGUAGGGCUUUAAAUUGUGGACGAAGGGAGUAUUAAAAAUUAAUUUAUUUAAAAUUUUUAGUUUAAGUUUAAAAAGAAUUUAGUUAGUUUUAUUUGACUCAUGAAUCGUUUGUUUCUUUUUUAAAAUUAGAGUUUCGUACCUUUCAGUUAAUAAAAAUUAAGUCUUAAAAUUUAAUUUAAAAAUCUUAUGGUACUAUUCAUGCACCAUCCUUAUUCAAUUCAAUUUUUUUUUUAAUUUUUUUUUCAAAAUAUAUGAUUUUUUAUUUAUACUAUUCAAAUUUAUUUAUUUAUUUUUAUUAUUGUAUAUAAGAAAAGAUGCAUAAUUUAUUUAUUUUUAUUAUUGUAAAUAGCAAGAUGAAUUAUUGGAUAAUAAAUUUCAAAAUUUUCAUCUUAUACAAAAGUGAUUUACAUAUUGGAUAACUAAAUGAAUUUUAAUUUACAUUACUACUUUCCCAAAAAUUUAUUAAAAUUAUGUGCAUGUAUCUUCAUUAAUAAAAUUGAAUUUUNCUUUUAGAGCAUCUCCAAUGCUCGAGUUUUCGCCUCGGAUUGAUCCAGUAUUUCGGCCGCACCGCGCGCUGGAGAACCGCGGCGACGCCGGCGUUGCUGCGCUCGACUAAAAUUAAAAAAGAAAAGAAAAAGGAAAUUGGGAAAGAGAGUUGCAGGGAAAUGGGGAAAGAGAAAGGGGAGGUCGGUGGGGAAGAAAGAAGAAAAAAGGGAAAGGAAGGGGGAGUCGGUGGGGGUAGGUAGGGGUUUUAAUUGUGGUUUUCACUGAAACGAACACACCUCAACUACUGGAUCUGUAUGGACAUGCCUCCACCAUUCAUUUCGUUUUCUACAUUAAUGCAGAAUGUUAUUAAUUUAAUGUUACAGAAAUUUCUCAACGUUAUAUCAUAUAUAUGGAUCCUAACAGCACAACGGAAGCCUGCGCUAGCUUGAAUGAAAAACUGACGAAACUCAACGCGGAGGCAGAAUCAGAAUGCACAAUCUACAGAGUUCAUAAAAAAUUACGGAACGUGAACCCCAAUGCUUACGAGCCCAAGGUGAUCGCUAUUGGUCCUUAUCACCGCAACAAGGAUCAUCUAAAAAUGAUGGAAGAUCACAAGCUACGUUACUUCCAGCACCUCAUCAGAAGGAAACCUUCCAACAAUGUGGAAAGCUACGCAGCAUGUGUGGGCAGAUUGGAAGCCGAAGCAAGAAAAUGUUACGCAGAUGAGCCUACAAGCAUGAGCCCAAGCGACUUCAUACAAAUGCUUGUACUAGAUGGAUGCUUCAUCAUUGAGUUAUUACUGAAGCGCAACACGGUGUCCCAGACGCAGAAGAAUGAUCCCAUCUUCCAAAUGAACUGGAUGAUUAAUAGCGUGAAGCGCGAUUUAAUGCUCUUCGAGAAUCAACUCCCAUUCUUCGUCUUGUGCGAGUUGUUCGACCUGAUUGAGGCUCCCGGCCAGCAUAGUAUGUUGCGGGACCUUCUCCUGCGAUUCUUCGUCGAUCUGUAUCCUGGGAAAAACUACAGAGGAGAAGCGAGCGUAGCUCCUCGUGAGGUGAAGCAUUUGCUUCACUUGAUCCAUCGGAAUUGGCUUCCCCGCGGCACGGGCACCGAGAAAAAGGAUAAGAGGUUGCAGUUCAUCAACAGCGCAGCGAGGCUUAAAGAGGCUAAUGUCAGGUUCGAGAUAUCUGAGCCAGAAGCUGCGUUGUUCGACGUGAGGUUCGAAAACGGGGUGAUGACCAUGGCGCCUCUGAGGGUCGAGGACAAGACCGAGUCGGUCCUCCGGAAUCUCGUCGCGUACGAGCAGUACUUUGGGCAGGAUCAGGAGAAUUUCGUGACGGAUUAUGUCAUGUUGCUGGACUGCCUUAUUGAUUCCUCCAAGGAUGUGGAGAUACUGUCGCGCGACGGAAUCGUGAAGAACUGGAUGGGCGAUGAGGAAGCCGUGGCGAAGAUGGUGAACAAGCUGGCUGAAUCGGUGGUUGUGCCCUACACAGGCUUCAUCUAUGCGGAGAUGUUUGAGAAUGUGGAAAAGCAUUGCAAGAAAAGAAGGAAUAGGCGGAUGGCCACGUUGAGGCGUAAUUAUUUAAGUAGUCCUUGGCUUAUUAUGUCUCUACUCGUCGGUGCAGUGCUGCUUCUGCUCACGCAAACAGUGUUUACCAUAUUACAGGUGCUUUGAAUUAGAAGAGCGACUAACCAUUUCUGCUCAAGAACUAAAUUGUGGGACAAAGGAUCCCAUGUUUAUGAUCCCAAUCACAUGUUCAUUGAAUGGACAAAUUUAAUAUUUUUGCCCAAAUAUAUAUGCUGCAUUAUUAGUUUUCCCAUCCAAAUAUUUAAUUGAGAGAAAUUCUAAACAAUAAAAGAUCGAGACAAAAUAUCAAUUGUCGCAUAAAAAGCUAUAAAGUUCAUAGGCCUCUAGAUAAAAUAACUAAAACAAAUUCAGUAUACUAGAUAUAUGUCGUGUAAUAAUUGUUAUCAAUGACAGGAUUAAAUGGACUUAUUUUCUAAUGACUCGUGAACUUUAAAUUCUAAUAUGUUGGCGAAUUUUCCGUCAAGAAUGUUCAAUUUAUUAUUAUUUUUUUCUUUAUUAUAUAUAUAUAGAAGUGUUCGGUUUGUAGAAUUAGAUAAGAUUAGUUUUAUAAUAUUUUAUUCGGUUCAAUAGAUAUGGCCAGUAUUUAAUCUCACGCAUGCACAUAGGAUUAGUCUUAGCUUAUGAACCUUGUUGUACCCUUGUAAUAAAAAUAAUUUCAGAUAAUUUCAAACCAAUCCAAUCUCAAAUAAUCUCGAAUAACCGAACAUUCCCGUAAAGAAUUUCCACCUAGUUUAUUGGCACUAGCAGUGAGAACGUGCGAUGCACGUUUAACACAUAGUACGAUUUUAUACUAUGAUAAUAAAUACAUAAAUUUUAUUAUAUAGUUUGAAUAUUUUUUUAAUUAAUUGUAUUUAUGAAAUUGUCUUAUUAUUCACUUGACUAUAAUUAAAAUUUUAAAAAGUAAUCAAUAAAACUAUUAAUGAAUAAAUUUAAAUGUAAAAAAGUAAUAUUCAUAAUAUACGUCUAAAUAAAAAUGCAAACAGAUCUAUGAAAAAUACGUCGUGUGCCACUCCAAUAUACGUCGCGCGCAAUUCCAAUAUACGUAGUAUCCAACACACCAUGCGUGCAACUUUAAUAUACGUCAUGUGCAAUAAUUGUAUUUUAAAAAAUAUGAAGCUUGGACCAAUUAAAAAUAUUGAACUGCAUUAUUUUUCACAAUCUCGUUAAUGCACAACAACAUAUAUGAGAACGUAUACUUAAAAUGAGAACGAAUAAUCAUCUUCAAUCAUUGGAUCAUGAAAAUCAACGGUGGAUACAUUAUCUUGAUGGAUGAAUAUGCACCACCCGAAUUCAAAUCCUGAAGGGAGCGAAAUUUUUUAUUUAUUAUUUUUUUCUAAGGUGCAGUUAAUUGCACAAUGGAUGCAGCAAAUUUACACGCUAAUGCAGUGUCCUCAGUUCUCAUUUUAAAUUGUGGUUAUCACUAUAACCAACCUGGAUCUGUAUGGACAUGCCUCUCCCAUUCAUUUCGUUUUCUACAUUUAUGAAGAACAUGACCCCCCCACCCCCCUCCCCCCCCCAAAAAAAAAAGAAAAAAAGAAAAAAGAAAUGGAUCUGCCUCUACUAUUCAUUUCGUUCUACAUUUAUGUAUUGAUAAUGUUAGAUGAAAGACUAAUUAAAAUUCUGCCGGUGACCCCAGGUUUAGUGAAUACUGAAUAUCUAUCAGUUGAGAUAGAGACUUGCUAUUUCUCUCGUAAUUUGUUCGUCCACAACAUGUGGUAUGCAUAAGUUCUCUUCUAGUCUGUAAAUGGACAUAUACUCCUGCCAAAUCAGUUUUGAGUUUGUUUUUUUUCCAUCAAAAUUGUUUGAUCAUAUUUAUGUGAAACACAUCAAAAUCAUAUAUUUUGGGUGUGAUUCUAUCUUUACAGCACAACGCAAGCCUGCGCUAGCUUGAAUGAAAAACUGACGAAACUGAGCGCGGGGGCAGAAUCAGAAUGCACAAUCUACGUAGUUCAUACACAUUUACGGAACGUGAACCCCAAUGCUUACGAGCCCGAGUCGUUCCUCCGGAAUCUUGUCGCGUACGAGCAGUACUUUGGGCGGGAUCAGGAGAAUUUCGUGACGGCCUAUGUCACGUUCCUGGACUGCCUUGUUGAUUCUUCCAAGGAUGUGGAGAUAUUGUCGCGCAAUGGAAUCGUGGUUGGGCGAUGACGAAGCCGUGGCGAAGAUGGUGAACAAGCUGGGUGAAUCGGUGGCUGUGCCCUGGGCAAGCUUCAUCUAUGCGGAGAUGCUUGAGAAUGUGGAAAAGCAUUGCAGUGAAUCGUGUUGUGAGUGAGUCCACUAUUGAGAAAGUGGAGUAAAUAUAAAAUAUAAAAGUGAUAAAUGUGUUUUAAGGUGGGUCAAUUAGUGGCAAAUGAUAGUAAAUAUAGGAAAAGAAGGACAGUAUAAAAGUACAAAAAAUAGAAUAGGACUCUAAUUUGUGGACAAAAGUUUAAGAUCAAGUAGGGCUUUAAAUUGUGGACUGAGGGAGUAUUAAAAAUUAAUUUAUUUAAAAAUUUUAGUUUAAGUUUAAAAAAAAUUUAGUUAGUUUUAUUUGACUCAUGAAUCGUUUGUUUCUUUUUUUAAAUUAGAGUUUCGUACCUUUCAGUUAAUAAAAAUUAAGUCUUAAAAUUUAAUUUAAAAAUCUUAUGGUACUAUUCAUGCACCAUCCUUAUUCAAUUCAAUUUUUUUUAAUUUUUUUCAAAAUAUAUGAUUUUUUAUUUAACUAUUCAAAUUUAUUUAUUAUUUUUAUUAUUGUAUACUACAAAGAUGCAUAUUUAUAUAUUUUUAUUAUUGUAAAUAAACAAAGAUGAAUUAUUGGAUAAUAAAUUUCAAAAUUUUCAUCUUAUACAAAAGUGAUUUACAUAUUGGAUAACUAAAUGAAUUUUAAUUUACAUUACUACUUUCCCAAAAAUUUAUUAAAAUUAUGUGCAUGUAUCUUCAUUAAUAAAAUUGAAUUUUCUUUUCUCCAUUGUACUAUGAUUGCUAGAUAGCAUUCCAAGCUCCAAGAUCGAAUUCCUAUCGAACGGGAAUUAGUAGUAGUGCUAGUGAGGGUAUGGAAAUGGAAUUCAUCGAUUCUUUCCAGAAGUUAUAUAAAUUGGACCCUAGACCGGGUGACUUUUUCGUGCUUGUCCUUGGAAAUAAGAGAAAAAUGUUCAGCCCCUUUUCUAAAGAAGAGAUUGAAGAGUAUGGUUUACUUGGAAUCAUAAUCCAUGAUUUAAAAGAAUAUUAUCUUUAUAUAUAUUUUUUAUUUUACCUAUAUUUUUUCUAAUAUACAAACUAACCCGUUAAACAUUCAAUUUUAUUUGAUGGUUGUAAUUUAUAUCAUUAUUACAUUUUUUCCAGUGAACUUUUCGGUCUCGAUCCGUGGCAUAGACAUUCUUGCGUCGAUGAUGGGCCUCCCUUCCCACAGACGACGCCACUUGUAAAGGAAAUCGACUCAACAGAAUGAAAUUGCACACAAGAUUACGUGGUUCGGGUGUAAACCCUACAUCCACGGGACAAGAAUCGGAACCACUUUAUUUACUCAGAGCAAAAUAUAGAGAUUACAAUCCUCAGAUGUAUUUCGCUAUCUACAAACUUUGAAUAAGCGAAAAACAAACUCUCUCUAAUCUCUGCAACUCACGCUCACGCAAUAAUGGAAGCUCUGCUACUGAAGAAGAAGACCCGACGUUAGUUAUAACUAACUCAUCUCCCCCUUUAAAUCCCAGCCGCAUGAUAAAAAACAACGGUACAGAUUAUAAGCUCCAACUUUGAUAUUUACUACUAAAUCCCUCCGUGUUUUUAACUUUGCACAAAACCCCUUCCGCAUAAACGUGAUAUCAAAAACACAAUGCACAAACACGUUUUUCUUUCCUUUGAACAAAACUAAUAACAACAGAGGCCUAACAAAAAACAACUCAUACUUAAACAUAAAGAAAAAAUACAAAAAAUAAAUGUGAGAAAAAUCUCAUUAUAAACAUCAAUACAAAAAAUAAUGUGAAGAAUAAACCUCACUAUAAACAAAGUUAUGAGUAUAAAUAUAAUCUUUACAUUAAAAUACCUACAUCGAACAUUUUACAAACCUUCAUUAUAAAUAAAGUUAUGAGUAUAUAUUCACCAUCGUAUUCAUAUAUCAGUUUUUUCAGAUUUCGAUGAUGAGUAAUAUUUGAUAAAACCACACACAAUUGAUCAUGUAAAAAAUAUGUGUCUUUAACUAUAAACCAACAUGCAAAAGAGAUUAAUCCCUUUUAUUAAUCCUCACAGUAGAUUAGGACUACCAAAACAUGUAAUUCUAUUUAAAAACUCAAGUGUGUAACAAAAUGCUACUUGAUUUAGAUUUACAUGCAUUGUUAAUUUGAACACAAACAUGAAAUCUGCAGCCACAUAUACAAUGUAAGAACAAAUAUAGUUAUAUCUUGUACAAGUAAAAAUUGAAAUACAAGUUAUCUAGAUAUUCCAUGUGAUUUAUUUCUUAUUACGAAUCAAUUAAAAGUUAUCUGGAAAUGGAAUAUAUAUAAGAAAUAAAAUAUUAUCUUAAUUUACACCUCGAAUUGAAGACAUCAAAUUGAAAUUACGACAUAAUACAAUUGAGAUCGAGACCCCGAUUUUCUAAUAUAUGCAGAUUGCUAUAAGUACAGUAUUUGACCAUAACACAUUAAAAACCCAAAAAUAUAUCACACAAAACCAAUAUCAAAGUUGACCCUACCCAACUUGCUCACAAAAAUACAAAACUCGCCAUUAAAAAAAAAACCCCUAUUUUCCUACGGCACCCAUCCUAUUGCUAAACUCUAUAAUUCUCUACACUCAUUUCUCGUCUCUCACUCUCUAUUUCUAAAUAUUUGAAUCCAUAGAUUAUUUUAUAAUUAAGUUAUUUAUUUGACUCAUGAAUCGUUUGUUUCUUUUUUAAAUUAGAGUUUCAUACCUUUCAGUUAAUAAAAAUUAAGUCUUAAAAUUUAAUUUAAAAAUCUUAUUGUGCUAUUCAUGCACCAUCCUUAUUCAAUUCAAUUGUUUUUUAAUUUUUUUUUUUCAAAAUAUAUGAUUUUUUUUUAUUUAUACGAAUCAAAUGUAAAUAUAAUAUAUAGGGUUAAGUAUCAGAUAGGCCCCUCACAUAGAGGCCCUUUUCACGUUGGGCUCCCUAUAGUCGAAGUUGGGCCAACUAAACCCCUAUAGUCCAAAAAAUUGAAUAAUUGGGCCCCUAGCCCUAACGGCUGAUAAACGCCGUCCGUACGGAAUCAUCCACAGCAUCGAGUGGUUGCUGAUUCCGAAAUCAGUCCAACAGGACUUCAACGCGCGGCGGAGUCUCCGCGCCACUUCCGCCGUUCUUCCGGAGGGCGCGCUGGAGGUCGACCUGAGAACGCACCGCCUGAAGAAGGCCGCGCAGCGACAGUCGUUUUACAGGGCCUCGAGGUAGAAGACGAGGGCCCGAGGGUUCCUCGAGAUGGAGAGCUCCGCCACCACGAUCUUCCAGUGCUCCUCCCGCGACGACGACAAGGCGGCGGACUCCGACGACUUCGGGCUCCUCUUGAGCGCGAGAGAGGCUAGAAUCGACUUGAAAAUGCCGUUGGGGCUGGCCAUUGAAAGCCUGCCGCCAUUAUUGCUCUCCAACGGAACAACCGAGAACCUCUCCCUAUUGCUAGGCCUGCACUUAUUGCACGACAAGCCGCUCGCCUCCUCCUUUUUCUGCCGCUUCUUCGCCGUCUUGCUGCUCCGCCGGCUCUUCUCAGAAUUCAGCGGUGUCGGAAAGUGCGUGUAAUCGCUGUCUCUCUUCUCCGUGUAGUCGCUCGCCGGAGUUGCUCUAAAACUCAUCCUUCCCUGAGAGAAUUCCUCCUCCUCGUUCCCCUCUUCUAUCUGCCAAAACAAAAUAAAAAAAUCGAUUCCCCUGUUUCCGGCGGAGGAAACCACUGCUCCGCCCAAAUUAAAAAUACAAAUAAAAAUAAGACGGACGGCGUUUAUCAGCCGUUAGGGCUAGGGGCCCAAUUAUUCAAUUUUUUGGACUAUAGGGGUUUAGUUGGCCCAACUUCGACUUUAGGGAGCCCAACGUGAAAAGGGCCUCUAUGUGAGGGGCCUAAUUAAUAAUUAACCCAUUUAUUUUUAUUAUUGUAAAUAAGCAAAGUUUGGCUGAGAGACGUCAACGCAGAGAGAUUAGAAGGCCUAAUCGUUUCACCAAUUAGUAUUCUUAUCACCGCAAUCAGAAUCAGAAUCAGAAACUGAGCGUGGGGGCAGAAUCAGAAUGCACAAUCUACAGAGUUCAUAAACAUUUACGGAACGUGAACCCCAAUGCUUACGAGCCCGAGGUGAUCGCUAUUGGCCCUUAUCACCGCAACACGGAUCAUCUAAAAAUGAUGGAAGAUUACAAGCUACGUUACUUCCAGCACCUCAUCAGAAGGAAACCUUCCAACAAUGUGGAAAGCUACGUAGCAUGUGUGGGCAGAUUGGAAGCCGAAGCAAGAAAAUGUUACGCAGAUGAGCCUACAAGCCUGAGCCCCAGCGAGUUCAUACAAAUGCUUGUACUAGAUGGAUGCUUCAUCAUUGAGUUAUUACUGAAGCGCGUCACGGUGUCCCUGAGGGAGAAGAAUGAUCCCAUCUUCCAAAUGGACUGGAUGAUUCUUAGCCUGCAGCGCGAUUUAAUGCUCUUCGAGAAUCAACUCCCAUUCUUCGUCUUGUGCGAGCUGUUCGACCUGAUUGAGGCUCCCGGCCAGCAUAGUAUGUUGCGGGACCUUUUAUCCACUCUCAUUACACUCAACAAUAUUUUUUCUUAAAACCCGUGUCACUCCCUCCUAGGAAGUUUUUUCAUGGACGGAGGGAAUAUAAUUUUUUACAUUCCUGUUUUUCCAUAGUUUUACAAAUCGAGUGAGUUUUGUUCUUGAGAGUUUUGAGAGUUGAUUCCAUUGUUCCAUUGCUGCAAUCCGAUUUCGUGUGUUUUGGAAGCUUUUGCGCAACAAGAAGUUAUCUAGAUAUUCCAUGUGAUUUAUUUUUUAUUACGAAUUAAUUAAAAGUUAUUUAGAAAUGGAAUAUAUAUAAGAAAUAAAAUAUUAUCUUAAUUUACACCUCGAAUUGAAGACAUCAAAUUGAAAUUACGACAUAAUACAAUUGAGAGACCCCUAUUUUCUAAUAUAUGCAGAUUGCUAUAAGUACAAUAUUUGACCAUAACACAUUAAAAACCCAAAAAUAUGUUACACAAAAUCAAUAUCAAAGUUGACCCAACUUUGAUAUUACACAAAAUCAAUAUCAAAGUUGACCCAACUUGCUCACAAAAAUACAAAACUCGCCAUUUAAAAAAAAAAAAAAAAAACCCUAUUUUCUUACGGCACCCAUCCUAUUGCUAAACUCUAUAAAUUCUCUACACCCAUUUCUCGUCUCUCACUCACUAUUUCUAAAUAUUUGGAUCCAUAGAUUAUUUUAUAAUUAAGUUAUUUAUUUGACUCAUGAAUCGUUUGUUUCGUUUUUAAAUUAGAGUUUCGUACCUUUCAGUUAAUAAAAGUUAAGUCUUAAAAUUUAAUUUAAAAAUCUUAUUGUACUAUUCAUGCACAAUCCUUUUUCAAUUCAUUUUUUAAAUUUGUUUUUUUUUUCAAAAUAUAUGAUUUUUUUAUUUAUACUAUUCAAAUUUAAUUGUUUAUUUUUAUCAUUGUAAAUAAGCAAAGAUGCAUAAUUUAUUUAUUUUUGUUAUUGUAAAUAAGCAAAGAUGAAUUAUUGGAUAAUAAAUUUCAAAAUUUUCAUUAUACAAAAGUGAUUUACAUAUUGGAUAACUAAAUGAAUUUUAAUUUACAUUACUACUUUCCCAAAAAUUUAUUAAAAUUAUGUGCAUGUAUCUUCAUUAAUAAAAUUGAAUUUGUAUGGUUUACUUGGAAUCAUAAUCCAUGAUUUAAAAGAAUAUUCUCUUUAUAUAUAUAUUUUUUAUUUUACCUAUAUUAUUUCUAAUAUACAAACUAACCCGUUAAACAUUCAAUUUUAUUUGAUGGUUGUAAUUUAUAUCAUUAUUACACUUAUCAUAUUUGAACCAUAUCUAUAAUAAAUAAAAUUAACUAUAAUAGAUAGAAGAAGAAAAGUUUAUGAAUUAUGUAUAAUAUUUUUUCUUGAGAGGAAUUAUGUAUAAUGGAGUUUUUUUUUUUUUUUGUAGGGAUGUAUAAUGGAGUAUUCGAUAACCCAUAUUUUGUGUUUUUAUUGAAAUCAACAACCCGUAUAUAACAUGAUAAUUUGAAACUUUAAUUGGAUUAAAUAACCUAAAAUUAAAAGUCCUAGUUGUUACGUAUGAAAAAGAACUAUUAUUAAAACGACCUAAAAAUAGAUCCAACUUUCAAGUAAUUAAUAUAAAAAUAAUUAAAAUUAAAAGAGGAUUGUAAAAAAAAAACCAUAUAAAAUGUAGUUACACUAAAAAAAAAAAAAAAAACUUAAGGAGCCCUAAUUUCAUUUCUCAAUAGGCGCUUCUGUAUUCUCGUUCUCUCUAUUUUUUUUAAGUUCAUCUUCUCUCUUCUUCUUCUUCUUCUUCUUCUUCUUCUUCUUCUUCUUCUUUCUUCUUGCUGUAAAUAUCUGCAGAAUUGAUGCUUCGUAUGUUUAAUCUAAUGUUUCGUUGCAGCAGCGAUACGACGGAGGAUGAUUGUUGAUAAAUUCAGAUGCUUGGAUUAGAAAGCCAUAAAUAUUUUUAGAGUGGCAAAACUUGGAGGCUAAGCAUGCUAGCUUGCACGCGAACGACGACUUUGCAUUGACCCACAGCAAGCUUGUAGACAUUAAAUGCAAGUUGAAUUUUAUGAAGAUGAGUUGUGAAAUGCAAACCACACAGAUACAUGUAUCUAUAUACAUAAUAUCUGUGUUCCAUUAUUGGUCUUCAAAGAAAAAGAAAAUCUGUAUUUCAUUAUUGAAUCAGCACCUUCCCAAACAGCAUGUAAGUUAUAAUUUCCAAGAGAACUGAAGGCGAUGGGUAGAAAUUCAGAAUAGCCAACUAACUUCUGAGGAGAAAUCUAUGAUAUUGAGUGUAUAUUCCCCUCAAGAUAUAUUACUUGCUCUCGAAACCAACCAGCAGCUGCUUACUGCUUAGUACUACUUCAUCCACUGCCAAUCAUGCUCAAGUAAGUUUGAUCUACCUAAUUUCAAUAAACACACCUUUUUUUAGCAAUUCUUAUCUUCGUGAUUUACAAUAUAUAUAUAUAGAGGGUAGGAUUAACAUAUAUAGAGGUCUUAUCUUGGAGAUUAAAGCUAGAACUUGGAGUUGGAACUAAGUGUUUAAGUUCUACGAAAACGGAGUUUAGUUUUAGAGAUUGGAGCUCUAACGAGCUGUUGGCCAAAUUGUUGUAAGACUUUUUGUUUGGUACCUCUGGUACCUUCGUUAUUUUAUGCAUUUUCUUGAUAAAAAAAAANNNNNNNNNNNNNNNNNNNNNNNNNNNNNNNNNNNNNNNNNNNNNNNNNNNNNNNNNNNNNNNNNNAAAGAAGAAAAAAGGGAAAGGAAGGGGGGAGUCGGUAGGGGUUUUAAUUGUGGUUUUCUACAUUAAUGCAGAAUGUUAUUAAUUUAAUGUUACAGAAAUUUCUCAACGUUAUAUGAUAUGUAGGGAUCCUAACAGCACAAUGCAAGCCUGCGCUAGCUUGAAUGAAAAACUGACGAAACUCGGCUCGGAGGCAGAAUCAGAAUGCACAAUCUACAGAGUUCAUGAAAAAUUACGGAACGUGAACCCCAACUAGCUUACGAGCCCAAUUUGAUCGCUAUUGGUCCUUAUCACCGCAACAAGGAUCAUCUAAAAAUGAUGGAAGAUCACAAGCUACGUUACUUCCAUCAGCUCAUCAUAAGGAAACCUUCCAACAAUGUGGAAAGCUACGCAGCAUGUGUGGGCAGAUUGGAAGCCGAAGCAAGAAAAUGUUACGCAGAUGAGCCUACAAGCAUGAGCCCAAGCGAGUUCAUACAAAUGCUUGUACUAGAUGGAUGCUUCAUCAUUGAGUUAUUACUGAAGCGCGUCACGGUGUCCCUGAGGGAGAAGAAUGAUCCCAUCUUCCAAAUGGACUGGAUGAUGAAUAGCCUGCAGCGCG
rnacentral:lncRNA from 1 species